ACUCAAAUGAAUAGACGGGGGCUCACACAAGCGGUGGAGGAUGUGGCUCAAUUCGAAGCAACGCGAAGAACCUUACCUGGGUUUGACAUGCUAGGAUUAGCUUUGUGAAAGCAAAGUGACGCGGCUUGCCGUGGAACUAGCACAGGUGCUGCAUGGCUGUCGUCAGCUCGUGCUGUGAAGUGUCGGGUUAAGUCCCUUAACGAGCGAAACCCUUGUCGCUAGUUGCCAGCGAGUAAAGUCGGGCACUUUAGCGAGACUGCCGGUGUUAAACCGGAGGAAGGUGGGGACGACGUCAAGUCCUCAUGGCCUUUAUGCCCAGGGUUGCACACGUCCUACAAUGGGAUGGUACAGAGCGAUGCGAGACCGCGAGGUGGAGCAAAUCGCAGAAAACUUCCCUCAGUUCGGAUUGCAGGCUGCAACUCGCCUGCAUGAAGCUGGAAUCGCUAGUAAUCGCGCAUCAGCUAUGGCGCGGUGAAUGUGUUCCUGAGCCUUGCACACACCGCCCGU
rnacentral:rRNA from 1 species